GCGGGAGCCCGUCCCGUGCGGGACGGGGACGAGAUGGAGGAGGAGGAGGAGGGGCCACGAGCACCGCAUCAACGGAGUCGGUCUCCCCUGCCAUGGCACUUGGGCUCUUGCUGGACGAAGAAAGAAGAAGGGGAGGAAAGAGAAUAGAGAACAGAGAGAGACGAGAGAGAAACGGAAGAUGAAGAACGUGGAUGACAGGGGUUAGCCAAAAAUGCAGAGAGAUUAAGAAGUGGAAGUGGACAUGUGUGUGGACAACACGGUGGGUGUAGAUAGGUGGGGUGGUACCGAGAGGUUUGGCGGCGUGAGGGCCAAGUUGAUCACACCACACGUCAAAGAAGCGGAACGACUGCACGAUAGGUCCGUCUCCGUUGCCUACUUUGCCAAAAUGUGCAGAGUUGCCACCAUGUCGAUGCUUAACGAUACUACAGUACUAUUUCUGAAAAUAGACCAAAAAAAGUUUCAAUGUAAUGUGGGAAAUAUCAUCUACUAGUACGACUUAGUAGUUAAUAGUAUGAAAGCUACACAUGCAUGGAUAGUUUUCCAACUCGAUGAUCUUUGUGAUGGUAACCAGCAAUUAAUAGUAAAUGCUUUCAGCCCAUGCAUGCAUUCCAAAUACGUUCUUGGCAAGCUAAUUAAUAUUCCCUCCGUUUCAUAUUAAAUGACUUAAAAUUAUCCAAAUAUGAAUGUAUCUAUGUCUAAAAAACGUCUAGAUGUAUGUACUGGAAUGACGUGUGCAAGCUAUGGUGUUUUAUUUUAUAGAAAUGAACUACACUAGAAGGAAAAGCAUGCUUUGCCGCGCCGUUAGGUUCCGUGGUACUGAAUUCGUAUCCCACGUGUGAUUUCCUUUUUUCAUUUUGUUUACCAUAUGCAUAUAUGUGCGCCACGACAAUCUACCGGGAGAAAAUCAUACCACGCAAGACGUAGACAAAUUAUACAAUGCGAGUUGGUACUUAAGAUAGCAUAUUUUUAUAUUACAUAAUUCGAUAUAAGUUCUCGACAAACAUUUGCGAUAAAUUAAAAUAAAAAAGGAAAAUGGGCUAAUCCCGUUUGAAGCCGUCCUCCUCCUCUUCGUCUUGGUCCUCCAUACUGCCGGCGUCCGCGCCGUCUUCGUCGUCGUCGGUGGUGUCCCAGUUGAAGGACCCGCGCACUGAGUAGUCAAUUGAGUGUGUUUUGAUGCAAAACCUGGGUGCACAAAGACGAUGAUAAUUUGAAAAAAAAUAAAAAAUUGUUUUCCUAGGAGGUUGUUCCAAAUGCAGUACUCCUCGGUCCUAAAAAAAAUGGGUAAAAGAAAAUUGACGUUUUAGCGACGAAUCUGGACAAGCACAGAAUCCGGGAGGUGGGACUACCGGCCCGUUUGGCCCACAGGCCACGCGUUAGAGUUGCGGGUUUGGCCGAGCCCCGCUCUAGGGUUUGGAUCGCCAAAUCAGUCUGCCGGUAGCACCGCCGUCCCGUUCGUAUUACUCACCAAUUCAUCAUCAUGGAGCAGCAUCCACUGG
rnacentral:lncRNA from 1 species